UACCUCUCAGGGUUGCACCUGGAGAGUUUUCAGGACUCUACCAGUGUUGACUAAGGGAGGAAGAGGCAAGCAGAGGCAUAUCCAUUCCAUUCCUAGUUUGGGCAGUGGCUAGCGAGUGGAAAGUAAUCUGCUAGAAGU